AGCUCCAAUAGCGUAUGCUAAUGUUGUUGCAGUUAAAAAGCUCGUAGUUGGAUUUUUAAGGGUGUCUGAUUCUAGUGACCUUUUGUGUCUCUCAAGUUUCAGACUCCCCUUAUUUUGCCUCAGUGCUCGUUUGAGAUUCACUUCUCGAUCGGGCUUCCGGGGCGUGUUUACUUUGAGAAAAUUAGAGUGUUCAAAACAGUCUUGUGAUUGUAUAUCAUAGCAUGGAAUAAUAACUGAUGACGUCGGUCUAUUUUUUGUGGUUCGGAUGGCUGAAGUAAUGAUUGAUAGAGUUAGUCGGAGGUAUUAGUAUUUUA
rnacentral:rRNA from 1 species